UUUUAAACAGUUUGAUGACUAAAAGAUCUUAUUUUUAAUUGAUAUUUGCAGAGGCAAUUUUUAUAAAUAAUUUAUAAUAUGGUUUUAUAAAUCGACAACGAAUAAUUUUGUGUAAACGUUCUCAUCCUUUUUCAAGUUGACGCCAGGCAACAGGCAACUACUAUUCCUUUUCUAUUUGAAAGUUACUAAAGAACGACAAGGCGCCCAAAAGCCAAAAUGAGAAUUUAGAGAUCACACUCCCGCAUUUUCAGACUUAUCCCAGGACCCAGAGGUUAAGGAGUAGUGAAGCUUGAAGUAUCCAAUCCAUGGCCUCCAGCUCCAGUCCUCAACGGCUCGUCUCUGUGUUGCUUUUGUUUCUUCUUCUCUUCUCCUUCUCCUCGAUCUUGGAAUCAAGCCAGUUCUGUGAUGCUGGAAUUGGACAUGGUGAGUCAACCUGUGGGGUAUCGUCGUCGUCGUCGUCCACCAAGCUGUUGAUCAAAGGCGCGACUGUAGUGAAUAUUCAGUCUUUUUUCUUUCUUUAUUUGUAUUCUUGUUUUUGUCAAAAUUGAACUUAUUCAUGGGUUGUUAAUUAUGCUGGCUGCCCAUUGAGUUUCAAAACAUAAUUUUUUGAGGGUUGAAUCUAAAAAUAUCUUAGUAUUUAUAUUUGAGAUAUUGGGAUUUUUCAGGUUUGCUGGAUAUACUUUGUAUUGGCUGUUAGUUUCUCAGUCCCUUAAAACAAGUUUCCAUCUAGUUUCUUUAUUAGUUCUGGACUACUGGAUCAAUGGAAUCCAUUGUCACCCUUUUAUUUUCCGCCCGAUAAAGUACCAUAAGUUAAUGUGAUUAUAGGAGGACCUUUUAGCCUGUUAGUGUAAUUCAUUCAACUAGUUUUGUGGUGGUGACUUUAGGCACACUGGAUAUCGUUACUUCUCAACCCACCCCCUCGAAAUCCCAUGAUAUUUUUUUGGAAAAAUCUUGAAAAUGUUCAACACGUGUGAUGUGCAUCUGUAUUUAAAGAUGUAUUUGUAAGUUUAGGGAGAAAUUUGGUCUUGUUUUAUUGUGGAAGUUGGUUGACAAGAUUGUUCAAAUUUGGUUGCGAGGUAGGUUCCUCCAUUUUGUGUCAUUUUUCUUGUAUUUGUUAAAGAGAAUGUUGAAGUACGUGUAAGUGGCAAGGCAGCAAAUAAUUCUCAUGUAUAUAUACAUGGAUGAUGUUAUUGGCACUCCAAAAAUGUCAUCGUCCACUCCACUAUACAAAUUUUUCCUUCUGUUGUAUAUAAAUUUGGAGUGUGGGAUAAUGACCUCUUUCAGAGUGCCAAUAACAGGUCCCAUAUAUGAUAGACGUUUUGUGAACAAUGUGAGCUUGGCGCAAAUCAUACUUAUGUGUGUAUAUAACUUCUCAUAUGCUCCAAGCCUCCGAAUGCUUUAUGUACUUUUCUUUCCUUUUCUUUAUGCUCUACUUGAUUUGAUGUCAAUGUUUUACUCUACUUUUGUUUUUGUUUUGUUUUGCUUUUUUUUUUUUUUUUUUUUUUUUUUUAACCAAAUGCCAUUGGCAGGAAGGUGAUGAUGUUAUUGUGCUUGAUGCCACUGGAAAGCUUGUCAUGCCAGCUGUUCUUGUUAUGCAGUAUUAAGUAUCCUUGUAUACUGAAUAAAGACUUUCAUUAUGUAAUACCCACCUAGGCAUGGAAUUCAUGGGUACAGAAACCAUGGAUGAUUUCUUCAGUGGUCAGGCCGCAGCAUUAGCUGGUGGAACAACAAUGCACAUCGACUUUGUUUUACAAGUUAAUGGAAGUUCAUUGUCAGGGUGGGAAGCUUAUGAAAAAAAAUCUACGGAGUCCUGCAUGGGUUAUGUUUUCCAUAUGGCAAUUACAAAACGGGUUGAACUUCAAAAGAAAUGGAAAUAAUGGUCAAGAAGAAAGGUAUAAACUCCAAUUUUUCAUGGCCUACCAGGGGUCCUUCAUGGUCAAUGAUGAGCUUCUACUAGAAGGGUUCACGAAGUGUAAGUCUCUUGGUGCGUUAGCUAUGCAUGAAGAAAAUGGACAUGCUGUAUUGAAGGACAGAGAAGAAUGAUAGACAUGCUCUUUCAAGGACAUGCUCUUUCAAGGCCCCCAGUGCUGGAAGGAGAGGCAACUGCUUGAGCAAUUCGCCUUGUAGGUUUUGUGAAUACUCCCCUUAUGUACUUCACGUGAUGAGCAUUCAUGCUAUGGAAGAAAUUUCUAAAGCUCGCAAAUCAGGUCCAUAGUAUCUUAUAUUUCUUGUUGUGUUACAUUUAUUUCUCAGCAGCUUUAGCUUUCUUCUGUUGGUUUGGAACUAUCUUGUUCUUGGUAACUAGAAGCUCUACCAUUUCAUUUGUUGGUUCUCAAAAUUCUUAGAUUGGCUGCUUCAGUAACUCUGUAGUAGAUCAUGGUAUUCAACCAAUUUCAUCAUCUCUUUUUGUUUUGUCCGAACCAAGUUCAUCGUCUAAAAUUAUUGUUUCAUGUCUUAAUCAUGUUCGAUCAUCCUUUCCCAAAGUUCCAAAUGUGAUUUGGACCAAGUUCUUAUUUUUCGGUUAAAAAUACUGAGUUGUUGAAAGGGUUCCAUAUAUAGUAUUGCAAGAGUUUAUGCAUCAAGCCAGAGUGCAAUUUGGCACGUGAAAAGAAUUUCUUAUCCAUGCUGGUGUAGAUUUCAGUAGUUCUAAGAAGUGACCAUUAUUAGACUUGUCAAUUGGGAUAUGUGCCUCUUCAUCAUAUCCUAGACCAAAAAGAUAAAAUGAAGACUUAACAGAAAGAGUACAAUGAACAAACUAAGAGAACAAGUUGCAAAAUAAAUGUGGUUAAUAAAGAGCGAAGAAGCUCAUUAAAAUUGAAUAUUAUCUUUUCUACAAUUUUUUUUCCAUCGGUUAUUUUGAACAAGUCAUUUCAUUAUGCGUCCUCAAACUGUUAGUUUUGAGUUAAGUACACUCCAAAUAUAUCUUCCUGACGGAACACCCUAUCUGUUUGUUUUUUAACUUCAUCUGGGAAGAAAAAUAAAUUACUACUAAAUUGCAGCGCAGAAAGUGAUUGGCGAGGCAGUAGUUUCUGGGCUUGUGCUUAAUGAUUCUUGGCUUUGCGAUACCAACUUUAUCACUGCUGCUAAGUAGGAAUUCUCUCUAUUUAAUUUAUGGUAUGUUCUGCCAGUCAAUAGAGCUAUGUUAUGUUUCAGGCAUGUCAUGAGUCCUUCUAUAAGGGCAGCAGGGCAUGACAAAGCUCUUCAAGUUGCUAUUUCAAUGGGAGUUCUGCAGGUUUUUCUUAUUGCCACCUUAUUUUGGGAACUAUCUGAUUUGGUCCGCAGGGCUUCUUGGUAAUGUUGUGAUUUAUUCCCUUGUAUAAGGAGUUACUGUAAAUAAAAUGACAAGUUUAUGGUUGUCCCUUGACAGUAUUCAGAGCCAGAUUUUGACCUAAUAUCUAGAGUACUUAUAAUUUUCAGUCGUCUAAACUUAAUAGUGAACAAAUUUGUUUUAUGAAAAUAUGGAUGCUUCUGAAGAUAGAUUCUGCAAUGUGCAGCUUGUAUGAACGGAUCGUUGCAUCUUCAAUUCAACACAGAAAGCUCUUUUGGAUAAUGUUUUUUUGUAAAUGAUGCUACUCUCAGGAAUCUGGUCAAAUUUCUCUCACUGAUUAUGUAUGGUUGACGAAUACUGAAUGUGCUAGGGCUUUCAAUAUAUCUCCUAGGAAGGCAGGAGUUCGCGAAGGUUCUGAUGCAGAUAUAAUUAUACUAAACCCAAACUCAAGCUUUGGGAUCGUGCGAAGUGGCACCACUCUAGAACAGAUACCAAUGUCUACGAGGGAUGGAAAGGGAAGGACAUUCGACUUUGUCUGGAUCAAAACAUGAUCAAACGAACGAAUGUUGGAGUGCUUCAAAUUGGAGGACAUUCAUGUGUCCCUUGGCGUGUUCGUGUCAAAAUUUCGGCUUUUUUCUACCAAACGGUUAUUUUCUGGCAAUGGAAUAAAGAAGUAGUGCGCGGUGUUGGAAAGUGACGUUUCUGAGCUUAGUUGCGAUUUUUGGAGCCCAACCUCUGAUGGGUUCGUGGUCUUCUGGAGAAGUGUUAAGAAUAUUACAAACUUUAAAUCCAGCUAUAUUGGGCUUGUUUUGGGACAGAUAUGGGUUCAAAACGUGGCUGUGCAGAUUUUGGGCGAAUUUUAUUAUUUAAUUUAGGGUUAUGUUUCCUAUUUUAAUUUAAUUUAUUUGGUUUGCUACUCUUGAUGGAAGACCUUUUAUUAGGAAAAUUUAAUUUAGGGAUCUUUUGAUAUAGGCAUGCCAGUUUUGAAUUUUCUAGAUCAAACAUUCAUGUCUUUUAGUGAUUUGAUUGAACUUUUUUUUUGUCAUAAUUGUGGUGCAUAUGCACAUUAUAUUGUAUCAAAUUUCCUAUAUCUAGCCUUUUGAUUACACUCU